rnacentral:rRNA from 1 species
AGCGAACGUUGGCGGCGUGGAUUAGGCAUGCAAGUCGAGCGAGAACCGUAGCAAUACGGGGAAAGCGGCGAAAGGGAGAGUAACACGUGGAUAACCUACCCUUGGGUUCGGGAUAGCCGCGGGAAACUGCGGGUAAUACCGGAUAACGUCUUUGGACCAAAGGUGUGAUUCCGCCCGAGGAGGGGUCCGCGUCCUAUUAGCUAGUUGGUAGGGUAACGGCCUACCAAGGCAAAGAUGGGUACGGGGUGUGAGAGCAUGCACCCGCUCACGGGGACUGGGACACUGCCCAGACACCUACGGGUGGCUGCAGUCGAGGAUCUUCGGCAAUGGGCGCAAGCCUGACCGAGCGACGCCGCGUGCGGGAUGAAGGCCCUCGGGUUGUAAACCGCUGGCAGAGGGGAGGAAAUGCUGGUGGGUUCUCCCAUCAGUUUGACCUAUCCUCAGAGGAAGGACGGGCUAAGUUCGUGCCAGCCGCCGCUGUAAUAC